UCAUAGCUCAGUGGUAGAGCAUCUGUUUUCCGUGCAGAAUGUCCUAGGUUCAAUCCCUGGAAUCUCAA